UCAGUGAGCUCUGCAUCUGCCUCUCUGUCUGCAUGUUGUCUGGGCUGUGAUCCAUGUGAGGAGUGCAGAUUAGUGGGGAGGAUAAACAGCAUCACUUCAAUGAGACGGUGGAGCCAGAGGCCUGUUUUUUAUCUUAUGAUGGUGUGCAAGCUUCUCUCUAGCAACCUCCAAACAGUCACUGAAUUAAUGGCUAUUUUCAAGGGAGAGAAAAGACUCUCAGGCUAUGUCAGAUUCUCAGAGUUUGGUAAUCUGGAAAGGGUUAAGAACUUGCUGCCAUAAUUCUAUCACAGACUGCUCUUGCUUCUACAGAAAAACAAAAAACAAAAAACACGGAGCAUCUUAAGAAGAAUCUCCUAUCUGAAUCUAAGACAAGAAAAUGGCAUUUUUGUCUACUUUUAUUUGCAGUGAUGGCAUUUUUGUCUACUUGUAUUUGCAAUGUUUAUUCUGUCUUCCCUCUACCCCCUCACACCAGCACCAAUUAUUCCACACCUGCUGGUGAACAAGCAGAGGCCUCUUUACACCUAUAUCCGCAUGGUCUUCAUUACUGGAUUGAGAAAAACACUGAUGAUGAAGUAGUUUUCCGCCCAUUACCUGUCUCUAAUAAUAUGCUUGUCAUCACAAUUAGUUUCACCAUCCCUGGCUUGCUUUUCUGUCAUUUCUUUCCCUUGAGUUCUGUUAAUAGCAGAAAUUGGCUGCUAAACUAUUAUUCUGGUCUGUGUAAUGGGGCUGAUGGCAGAAACAUUCUGCUUCUUUUGACAACUGGGUAUGAUUUGUAAAGGUGUGAAGAAGAAUUGCUAAUACUUCUGGGCUCCAUUACAUUAACCUGGAAGGCAUUCUACCCAAGAAAUGAAUCCAAUAUUAAAUUGCC
rnacentral:lncRNA from 1 species